rnacentral:rRNA from 1 species
GACGAACGCUGGCGGCGUGCAUAACACAUGCAAGUCGAACGAAGUGGCGAACGGGUGAGUAACACGUGAGUAACCUGCCUUACACAAGGGGAUAGCCUUUGGAAACGAAGAAUAAUACCCUAUAGUGUAAGAUGGACUUGCGUCUGAUUAGCUAGUUGGUGAGAUAAAGGCCCACCAAGGCAACGAUGAGUAGCCGGCUUGAGAGAGUGUACGGCCACAUUGGGACUGAGACACGGGCCAAGCUCUACGGGAGGCAUCAGUGGGGAAUAUUGCACAAUGGGGGAAACGCUGAUGCAGCAACUCCGCGUGCGGGAGACGGCCUUCGGGUUGUAAACCGCUUUCAGCCAUGACGCGGUAGUGGCAGAAGAAGCACCGGCUAACUACGUGCCAGCAGCCGCGGUAAUAC